rnacentral:rRNA from 1 species
AGAGUUUGAUCAUGGCUCAGGACGAACGCUGGCGGCGUGCUUAACACAUGCAAGUCGAGCGAGGCCCGUCCUUCGGGGUGGUGCCCUAGCGGCGAACGGGUGAGUAACACGUGGGCAACCUGCCCUGUGGUACGGAAUAACUCCGGGAAACUGGAGCUAAUACCGUAUGUGUCCUUUGGGACAAAGAUUCAUCGCCAUGGGAUGGGCCCGCGUAGGAUUAGCUUGUUGGCGGGGUAACGGCCCACCAAGGCUUCGAUCCUUAGCUGGUCUGAGAGGAUGAUCAGCCACACUGGGACUGAGACACGGCCCAGACUCCUACGGGAGGCAGCAGUGGGGAAUAUUGGACAAUGGGCGCAAGCCUGAUCCAGCAAUGCCGCGUGAGUGAUGAAGGCCUUCGGGUUGUAAAGCUCUUUCGCACGCGACGAUGAUGACGGUAGCGUGAGAAGAGGCCCCGGCUAACUUCGUGCCAGCAGCCGCGGUAAUACGAAGGGGGCUAGCGUUGUUCGGAAUUACUGGGCGUAAAGGGCGCGUAGGUGGUGUGUCAAGUCAGGCGUGAAAGCCCCGGGCUCAACCUGGGAACCGCGCUUGAGACUGGCACGCUCGAGUUCGGGAGAGGAUGGUGGAAUUCCCAGUGUAGAGGUGAAAUUCGUAGAUAUUGGGAAGAACACCGAUGGCGAAGGCAGCCAUCUGGACCGACACUGACGCUGAGGCGCGAAAGCGUGGGGAGCAAACAGGAUUAGAUACCCUAGUAGUCC